GUGGGGAAUAUUGGACAAUGGGCGAAAGCCUGAUCCAGCCAUGCCGCGUGUGUGAAGAAGGUCUUCGGAUUGUAAAGCACUUUAAGUUGGGAGGAAGGGCAGUAAGUUAAUACCUUGCUGUUUUGACGUUACCGACAGAAUAAGCACCGGCUAACUUCGUGCCAGCAGCCGCGGUAAUACGAAGGGUGCAAGCGUUAAUCGGAAUUAAUGGGCGUAAAGCUCGCGUAGGUGGUUUUGUAAGUUGGAGGUGAAAUCCCCGGGCUCAACCUGGGAGCUGCCUCCAAAACUGCAUGACUAGAGUACGGUAGAGGGUAGUGGAAUUUCCUGUGUAGCGGUGAAAUGCGUAGAUAUAGGAAGGAACACCAGUGGCGAAGGCGACUACCUGGACUGAUACUGACACUGAGGUGCGAAAGCGUGGGGAGCAAACAGGAUUAGAUACCCGUGUAGUCC
rnacentral:rRNA from 1 species